rnacentral:rRNA from 1 species
GACGAACGCUGGCGGCGUGCUUAACACAUGCAAGUCGAACGGUGAUCCCCAGCUUGCUGGGGUGAUCAGUGGCGAACGGGUGAGUAACACGUGAGCAACCUGCCCCCCGACUCUGGGAUAGCCUCGGGAAACCGGGAUUAAUACCGGAUAUGACACUUCCAGGCAUCUGGUGGUGUGGUAAAGUUUUUUCGGUUGGGGAUGGGCUCGCGGCCUAUCAGCUUGUUGGUGGGGUAAUGGCCCACCAAGGCGACGACGGGUAGCCGGCCUGAGAGGGUGACCGGCCACACUGGGACUGAGACACGGCCCAGACUCCUACGGGAGGCAGCAGGUGGGGAAUAUUGCGCAAUGGCGAAAGCCUGACGCAGCGACGCCGCGUGAGGGAUGAAGGCC